CCUCAAAACGAAAUCCGGCAAGUCAGCGCAGGUCGACUUCGGUUACUUCCGGCUCUCCCGAAAGACGAUUUCUUUCUCCAGACAGAACGGUUUUGGAACACCUCUGGAGGAAACCAUAUCAAGAUGUGCUGCAUAUUGAGGAAAAAUCGGUCUACAAUUGGCUAUGAUGCACGCCUGAUUCCCCACCGAUGGUUUGGGCCGGAAAAACUCUGCAAAUAGCAUGUCAAAGAAAAAGACCCCGCUUCCGGAUCAGGAACUGCUGAUUUCCAGAAAAAAUGGUUCAAAGGAACAGCAUACGGAAGUUGCUUGAAAAUAUUUUGUCUGUGUCCUCCAAGGGUCUGGAUGAGCUGUUCAACUUCCGCUGCAUGCAAAUGAAUCCCAACUGGUCCAACUUCACGAUGCACGGACAGAUUAUGUUGAUCGAUCGGGGUCACAAAAUUUUACUCGAAACCGCUUAUGGACGAUGAUAUGAGGGUAAUCGAAGUUUCCACCCGCAACGAUCGGCAGCAAAUUUUGAAGCUAUCCCGAAAGUUGGGAUUCUUGACCGGAUACGAAUCGCCGGCCAUGGAAAAUCUCCACCUAGACGCGCUUUUCAUCCUGGGUGAAGUGUUCAGCGUUCUGGGAGAAUUCGAAUUCCGACGGCCGGUCAUGGUAUAGCCAAACAGUCUCCAAUAGGCCAGUGCCCAGCGGCGCUUGCAACGUCCGGUUAGAGUCAAGUGUGCUGGACCUACUGCCGCCACCAAUGUCACCGUUGCUCUCAAAAAGGUUGAGUGAAUAAUGUUGUCCGGAAGAAAUACAUUUAUAAUGAACCAACAAAUAAAGAAAUUAAAAUAAACUCCCAUCCAUUAUUUAAUUUUUGAUUCGAUUGAAAUCGCUAAUUUUUACGAUCUUACGAUUCUACGCACCGGCAAGAAAGUAAGGAAAAACUUUCCGUUGA